GGUUAAGCGACUAAGCGUACACGGUGGAUGCCCUGGCAGUCAGAGGCGAUGAAGGACGUGCUAAUCUGCGAUAAGCGUCGGUAAGGUGAUAUGAACCGUUAUAACCGGCGAUUUCCGAAUGGGGAAACCCAGUGUGAUUCGUCACACUAUCAUUAACUGAAUCCAUAGGUUAAUGAGGCGAACCGGGGGAACUGAAACAUCUAAGUACCCCGAGGAAAAGAAAUCAACCGAGAUUCCCCCAGUAGCGGCGAGCGAACGGGGAGCAGCCCAGAGCCUGAAUCAGUGUGUGUGUUAGUGGAAGCGUCUGGAAAGGCGCGCGAUACAGGGUGACAGCCCCGUACACAAAAAUGCACAUGCUGUGAGCUCGAUGAGUAGGGCGGGACACGUGGUAUCCUGUCUGAAUAUGGGGGGACCAUCCUCCAAGGCUAAAUACUCCUGACUGACCGAUAGUGAACCAGUACCGUGAGGGAAAGGCGAAAAGAACCCCGGCGAGGGGAGUGAAAAGAACCUGAAACCGUGUACGUACAAGCAGUGGGAGCACGCUUAGGCGUGUGACUGCGUACCUUUUGUAUAAUGGGUCAGCGACUUAUAUUCUGUAGCAAGGUUAACCGAAUAGGGGAGCCGAAGGGA
rnacentral:rRNA from 1 species